UGGUUCAAACCGGUUUAGUUCUUAUAUUUCAGUGUAUAAACUACAAAAACAUUGGUUUGCAUUAUACAUUCGCCAUUUUACUCUGCAACCGUUGCGUUGUCGUCCGUUAUCUCUACGAUAAAAAAGCUCGUUUUCACGGUUAUAUUUUUGUGAGCUUUUGUCCACUUCCUGUCGACAACAUGGUGAAAUCGUCAAAGAAAAGCUCAUCCACUGAGAUCCAAAGAAAAUCUCCUCGGCUGGCUUCGAAACCAGCAGCUGUAGUACCGGAGAAGAAAAAGAUGGCUGUAAAAAAGGCAGUCAAACCAAAGAAGGGCAAGACAGCUGAAAAUGAGAACGCAAAGGCUGAGGAGACAAAGGCUGAGGUGACUGAGGCCAAAUGAACGGGUGUUGAUGUGCUCACUCUGUGUACUUGGUGAUUGUACAGUUUAAAAUAAGUAUUUUUUACCAAGUUUUAUAUUACAAAAAUGUCAUUUAUAGGUUUGUUUUGGGCUUGCACUUGAUGUCACAAAACUUUGUCACAUUCAUAUCCAUUUAAAAAAGAAUUACCGUCCAUAUCUUGUAGACGUGGCAUUUUUAGUUUGUCUAAUUCUGUUUUUUUUUUUUUUGAACUGCUGAGUAAUAGAUAUUUUUCAACAAGCCUGUUUUGAUUCUAAUUUUAAACAUUAUAAGGCAGCUAAAGCAUUUUGUUAAAAUUGAGGGAGAAUAGGAUUUGUCUUUUCUCUCCUUGAAUUUUAAUGUUAAACUAAUUAAAAAAAAAAAAAAAGAUUGCUUACCAAAUGUUUUGAAACACUGUAUGUUAACAUGAGAUCUAGUCAUUGGAAAUGCCACAGUAAAAUACUGUUAUUAGGUCAAACAUUUGACAUAUCCCAAAAAACAUGUAUGUUGUGAAACCGGUCAUCUGAUGAAACGUUAUCUUAAGUUAUGUUUCUGUUAGGGGAAAAGGAAGCUUUUCUGAUUCAAUGGUUGAUCUAAAUGUUCUUAAAUAAAAAAAUGUAAAAUGUC